rnacentral:lncRNA from 1 species
GUCAAGUCGCUCACCAUAAGGAAGAAUGGAGAGAAGGGAUAUUUUAAGAUUUGUUUUCUAGUGCUGCGAAUGAUCUCAGGUGGGAAAAUGCUUGCCUUACAUGCAAGAAUUCCUGGCUUCAAUCUCUGCACUUCAUGAAUAGUCCCAGAACCACAGAAGUCCAUAAAGUACAUAUGCCAGUUCAGGAAGGCUAAGGUCUGCUAUGCGGUGCUAAGAUGGGGAAGGGGGCAUCUAAGAUAACACCAAAUUCAAAAAUCAGACAGUGCAGCACAUGUACUCAAAGAUAAAUAAUAGUACAAAAGGAAAAUAUAUCAGCACCAAACCAAAUGAGAAAUCUAAGGUAUCUAGUCAUCCUACAAAGAAGAAGAGAGGAGAAAUGGCAAAAUGUACAUCAGAGAGAAAGCCUCCGUCUAGAACUAUCACAAGUGCAUCGAAAGCCAAGAGGGGAAGGUCCCAAAAAUCCAGCCAACAACACCCAGAGAGAAAUUAAUCUUAUACAACCAAGAGACAGAGGAAGACUUCACCACCUCUGGGGGUGGGGGGAGAAGUAGAUAAAAAGCUACUUGGGCUAGGUCAGACUUUAAGAAAAUAAACAUCUGGUUAACUAUGA